rnacentral:rRNA from 1 species
CCCUGGCUCAGAACGAACGCUGGCGGCAGGCUUAACACAUGCAAGUCGAGCGCCUCGCAAGAGGAGCGGCAGACGGGUGAGUAACGCGUGGGAAUCUACCCAUCUCUACGGAAUAACGCAUGGAAACGUGUGCUAAUACCGUAUACGCCCUUUGGGGGAAAGAUUUAUCGGAGAUGGAUGAGCCCGCGUUGGAUUAGCUAGUUGGUGGGGUAAAGGCCUACCAAGGCGACGAUCCAUAGCUGGUCUGAGAGGAUGAUCAGCCACAUUGGGACUGAGACACGGCCCAAACUCCUACGGGAGGCAGCAGUGGGGAAUAUUGGACAAUGGGCGCAAGCCUGAUCCAGCCAUGCCGCGUGAGUGAUGAAGGCCUUAGGGUUGUAAAGCUCUUUCACCGGAGAAGAUAAUGACGGUAUCCGGAGAAGAAGCCCCGGCUAACU